rnacentral:rRNA from 1 species
UUGUGCUUAACUGCACUUUUCUUAUCUACACACGUGUUUUUGUUUUAUUCUUAAAACUUGCUUUGGCAGUGGCUGCUUAAUUGCUCUGCUGCCAGAGGAUAAACUCAACCUAAAUUUUUUAUUUUAAACUAGUCAACUGAUUAUAUUUAUUAAUAGUCAAAACUUUCAACAACGGAUCUCUUGGUUCUCGCAUCGAUGAAGAACGCAGCGAAAUGCGAUAAGUAAUAUGAAUUGCAGAUAUUCGUGAAUCAUCGAAUCUUUGAACGCACAUUGCGCCCUCUGGUAUUCCGGAGGGCAUGCCUGUUUGAGCGUCAUUUCUCCCUCAAACCCCCGGGUUUGGUGAUGAGCAAUACGCCAGGUUUGCUUGAAAGUUAGGAGGAGUAUUUAUAACAAUGUAUUAGGUCUAACCACUCCAUUGUGCUUAAUAAAAGCUCCAAUCUAUAUUUCAAACUUCGACCUCAAAUCAGGUAGGAUUACCCGCUGAACUUAAGCAUAUCAAUA